GACGUAGGGCGCGAGCGUUGUCCGGAUUUAUUGGGCGUAAAGAGCUCGUAGGCGGCUUGUCGCGUCGUCCGUGAAAACUUGGGGCUCAACCCCAAGCUUGCGGUCGAUACGGGCAGGCUAGAGUUCGGUAGGGGAGACUGGAAUUCCUGGUGUAGCGGUGAAAUGCGCAGAUAUCAGGAGGAACACCGGUGGCGAAGGCGGGUCUCUGGGCCGAUACUGACGCUGAUGCGCGAAAGCGUGGGUAGCAAACAGG
rnacentral:rRNA from 1 species